rnacentral:lncRNA from 1 species
CUUCCCACCGGCCGGAGGGCAGGGCCCCGCGCGCGGCCGCCGUUCCGCAGCCAACAGCCGUCACCGUGGCCAGGCCGGCGGGCCCCGCGAUGCUGUCUCUCCUGCUGAUGCUCUCAGGUCUGGGCCGGCUGACCUCCGCGGGCCAUCAUCCUGAACCAUCCCUUCUACAAAUUACCGUGCCGCGGAAGAUUGGGACAAGUACCAAUGACGGUGAAGAUUUCAAAACACAUGUAAUUAAGAAGUCACUUUUUUUUAAUGAAAAAAAUAUUUGUUAUCUGCAAAUAGUGAAAGUUUUACUUCUUCCCUGCCAAUUUGGAUGCCUUUUAUUUAUUUUUGUUGUCUGCUGACUAGGACUUCUAGCACUAUGUUAAAUAACAGUGGUGAGAGUGGACAUCCUUGCCUUGUUCCUGAUUAUAUUGGAAAAGCUCUGUCUUUCCCCAUUGAAGAUGAUAAUUAACUGUAGGUUUUUUAUAUACGGCCUUUAUUAUGUUGGGGUAUGUUCCCUCUAAAAUUACUUUGUAGGGUUUUUGCCGUGAAUGGAUUUUUACUUUGUCAAAUGCUUUUUCUGCAUCUAUUGAGAGGAUCGUAUGGUUCUUAUCUAAUCUUUUGUUAAAGUGGUGUAUCACAUUGAUUUGUGAAUAUUGAACCAUGCUUGUAGGCCAGGAGUAAAUUCACCACCAUUGAUCCUGGUGAAUGAUUUCCUUAAUGUAUUGUUGAAUUUAGUUUGCUAGUAUGUUAUUGAGAAUUUUUACAUCUGUGUUAAUCAGAGAUAUUGGUCUAUAAUUCUCUUUAUUAUUGGAAUCUUCAUCUGGUUUUGGUAACUCCUUAAAUGUUGGGUAGCGUUUGCCUGGGAAGCCAUCUCAUCCUGGACUUUUAUUUGUUCAGAGAUUUUGAUUACUGAUUCAUUUUCUUUGCUGGUAAUUGCUCUGUUCAAGUUUUCUAUUUCUUCCUGUUUCAGUUUUGGUAGUUUAUGUGUCUUGGAAUAUAUCCAUUUUCUUCCGUGUUGUCCAGUUUGUUGGGAUAUAGUUUUUCAUAAUAUUCUCUUAUAUUUGUUUGUAUUUCUGUAGCAUGGGUUGUUAUUUUUUACUCCCUCAUUUGUAAUUUUAUUUAUUUAGUUGCUUUCUCUUUUCUCUUUGAUAGGCCUAGCUAGAGGCUUAUCAAUUUUAUUUUUCAAACAACCAGAUCCUGGUUUCAUUGACCUAUUGUUUUUUUGUUUGUUUGUUUUUGUUUUUGUCUUGUUUUGUUUCUGUCUCAUUUAUUUCUCCUAAUCCUCUUUCAUUUCUUGUGAUGCUUUCAGGUUUCACUAAUUGUCCUUUAGGUGUAAGGAUAGGUUGUUUGAGAUUUUCUUUGCUUCCCAGGGAAGAUCUUUAUUGCUAUAUACCUCCCUCUUAGGACUGCUUUUGGUGCAUCUUAAAGGUUUUUAAAGGUUUGGACUAUUGUGUUUUCAUUUUCAUUUGUUUCCAUGUGUUUGUUUUAUUUAAAUUCAAUUUAGUCAAUGCAUAGUGUAUUAGUAGUUUCCGGGGUAGAAUUCAGGGUUUCAUAAGUUGCAGUGCUCAUUCCAUCAAGUGUCUUUUUUAUUGCCCAUCACCCAGUUACCCCAUCCUCCCACCCACCUCCCUAGCAGCCCUCAUGUUUCCUAGAGUCCAGCAUUUCUUAUGGUUUGCUUCCCUCUCUAUUUUCAUCUUAUUUUUCCUUCACUUCUCCUAAGUUCAUCUUUUUUGUUUUUUAAAAUACACAUAUGAGUGAAAUAAAUGGUAUUUGUCUUUAUCUGGCUAAUUUAUU